rnacentral:misc_RNA from 1 species
GGAAGUAAAGGUCGUAACAAGGUUUCCGUAGGUGAACCUGCGGAAGGAUCAUUACAGAGAGUGCAAGUCCUCUUUCGAGAGGCUUGCAUGAAAACAAUCAUGCAUGGGGCGCGUAUGGCUACCACCAUACGGCAGCUUCAUGUCGACCGGUGUAUUGAAAUUGUAUGCUUGGCGGGAGUUUUAUGGGAUGUUUUCAUUUCAUAUGCCCGCCAAAGUUUUUAACCACAAUGAAAUGUUUUAUCAUAAUCAAAUAACAGUUUAUUACAACUGUUGGCAACGGAUCACUCGGCUCUC